GGAUUCCCCGGAAGCGCUGGCGCAUCGCGACGCCCCGAGUCGAGCUCGCUCACCGAUGGAAAUUCCGGCCGUCCAGCCGCACUACCACCCAGCAGUGUGCCAGGCAGGUGUCGUCAGCCUCGAAGUCCCUCACGUACUCGAACUUGCUUUUUGCCAUGGUCGCCCCCAAUCUCAGGUACCGUCUCAGAGUGAUGGAAAUGGUGGCCAAGGAAUCGUGAACCUUAACUUUACAGGCGCCCCACAUUCUACACGCGGAAAGGAAAGGGCCAGAUAGCCCCGCCCCGGAAGUGUUCUCUUCGCGGCUACUCUAGCCGUAGGGCAGUCAUAGUCUCUCUCGCCUCUCCCUGUAGUUCUUAACCUCCCAGGCAAAGAGGAUGGAGGUUUAGGUUCCUCCGUUAGCACCUUCCACGCUUGCUUCUUCCUCCUCCCGUCCUGCGGCAAAUCAGUCUCACGAGGUUUUUAAAAAUUAUUUUUUAUCUGCUGGUCUUGACUUACUGGCAAAAGCAAUCAGUGUCCCCGUUAGUGCCCAGAUCAAAAUCAUACCCCAACCUAAAAAAAAAAAAAAAAAAAAAAAUUCUUUUUCUGGUGUUUGAAGGUGUAGCUGUGAUGUUUCCCCUUUUCUUAGUGGCAUUUAUUAACUUGUAGAAAAUCUGGAAUACACCAAAACUAUAGUUAAGAAAAUUAACACUUUGUUUCUCCGUCUUUCCCAUCAAAGCAUUGUGGAUGGUUCCUUUCAGUCUUUUUUCUUUUUGUGUAUGUAGGUUUACACAGGGAAUGCACAAGAUUGGAAUUAUUCGCCUAUACAAUGUUUAUAUAUUUUUCCACUCAGCUUGAGCAUUUGCCAGUAUCAUCAAUUAUUCCAAAGUGUGAUUUUUAAAAGAAAAAUGGACUCAAUAUUCCAACAUAUGGGUAUACUAAAUUGAUUUAUUCAACUUUUUCACCAUUAAAUAAUCACAGAACCAGUGUUUGAUAUCUUGUUGCUGGUGGAUAAUAGUAAAAAUAAAAUCCUAAUAUUUGUGUCAUACUUUGUGAUUUACAAAGCUCUUUCAAAUUCAUUACCUACUUACUUACUUUUUUUUUUUUUCCAUCCUCAAGAAAGAUAUUCAGGCCAGGCACGGUGGCUGACGCCUGUAAUCCCAGCACUUUGGGAGGCAGAGGCAGGAGGAUUGCUUGAGUUCAGGAGAUUCAUACCAGCCUUGGCAACGUAGCAAGACCCCUGUUCCUACAAAAAAGAAAAAAAAUUAUCCAGGCUUAGUAGCCCAUGCCCGUAGUCCUAGCUAUGGGAGGAUGAGGUGGGAAGAUACUUGAGGCCAGGAGUUCGAGACUGCAGUGACCCAUCAUUAGCCACUGCACUCCAGCCUUGGUGACAGAGCAAGAAUCUGUCUCUAAAGAAAAAGAAAAAUAUUCAAACAAUAUAAAUCCUUUUAUAUGUAGCAAAAAGUCUCUCACUGACUCCUAACAACAUACUUUAGGCAGUUACUGUUACCAGUUUUUUGUGUAUCCAUACAGGGAUCUAUAUCAGUAUGUGUGUAUAUCCUCAUAAUAGUACCACAAAUGGUAGUCAUCACUCCUUUGAUGCUCAGAGUAACAUCAGAGGGAUGCAAAAGAGGAACUGGGAUUUCACCUUUACAAAGGGGAAAUCUGAGACUCAAAGAGAAAAAAAUAAUUUACAUAAGGUCACAUAUGUGGCAGGACCAAGACAUAAAUUAUGACAUCCUGCAUCUUUUCUUUGUUUCUGUUGCUGUGAAGUCAGUUUUCUGUAGGUUAUCAUUCCUCACCUUUUACUUCCACAAACUCCUCUCUCCAAGCUGACCAGGAGACAACCAAAUCUUGCCUCCUCUAGGAGCCCUACUUUCAUUAGGUGAAUUUUUCAAAAUUACUUAUCAAUAUGAAUUCAUGAUUUUUAUUUUUUUUAUGUGUAUGUUUUCGAGACAGAGUCUCACUGUCACCUAGGCUGGAGUACAAUGGCAUGAUCUCAGCUCACUGCAGCCUAGACCUCUUGGGUUCAGGUGAACCUCCCACCUCCCUUCCUAGUAGCUGGGACUACAGGUGCGUGCCACCAUGCCCACCUAAUAUUUGUAUUUUUUUUUGUAGAAACAGGGUUUCCCCAUCCACAUCCCACACUGGGAGAUGAGACUCCUAUCAGGGAUGGGCUGAAUAUAAAAUAAGCCAAUUGGCUUUGGGUUGCUUUGCAGUGAAAUGCAUAGUAGAAGUACUACACUGUCUUCUCCCAUAGCAUCUAUAUGGUCUUUACAUAAAUUAAGCAUUAAAAUAACAGCAUAGCAAGGAGGUCUUAAGAUGCUAAUCUGCCCUUUAGUAAAAGGGUUAUAAAAGGUUUGUAAAGUUUUCACCUCAUGGUCAAAUUGGUUAGGAUUAAAUGGAAUAAUCUAUAAGGUUUCAUGUAAAUGAAUUGGGGUUAACAUUAAUAAAUUAAUGCAAGGGUAAAAUUUUGCUUUGAACAAAAUUUUCAUGUCAUAGUAAAGGCUAAUGAAAGGUUUUUGCCUUUUGAGUCAUCAUUUUGGCAAAAUAAUUUAUGGCAAUCUGGAAAUUGUCCCUCCGGAUACCUGACUUUUUGGUUGGUUCAGAGGGCCCCAAAACAUUCAGAAAAGAGAUAAAUAGGAUCAUUUGACAUGUUUAGUCAUAAGAGAUUGCCAAAAUGAUGUCCAAUCUUCUUUAAGUUAUAUUUUGAUGAAUAAUACUAAUAUAUGUUCCAAAAUUGUAUGGGAUUUCUAAAAUUCUAAUGUCUAAGUAUAGCUAUCAAUCAUAUUACCCUCAAUCAAUUAAGGGUAAAGUUAUUGUAAACCAUGAAGAUAAGUAAACUUCGUCAGUCAUAUUUUUAACUAUCCUGGAAAUUUUUCAUUCACAGACAAUUGUUGUCUUGCUUUGUUCCUUCUCAAAAGAUGGUUUAUAAUCAAGCUAUGUGAAGGAAUUUAACAGGUGUUCUCAAAUGCAGGUUUUUAAUAGCUUUAAAGAUUGUAACAUUGAAAUAAAGAAUGUAGGGACUCAGAAAGAACUGACAUAUUGACAAAUGUCAAGCAAAAUAAAAGUUUACUAAGUGGACUACACUCAGAAAGUUAAAGCAACCUUUUUAACCUUUGCUUGGAAUAUUGUCGAUCUUUGUUUUGAUUUUCAGAGUCAAGGAAAGUUAUUUUAAACUAUUUAUGGACUUUAAUAAUUGAGUAAGUUAUACUGUGAAGAAAACUUGGAGCAUGUUUAUUUUUCUCUGCCUGGUUCCUCUAGAAUUUGGAAAUUAUCUGUGAGUACUCUUAACUUAUGGGAAUAUAGUUGUUCAUCUCAGUGCAAUCAGAAUCCAUUUUUCUUUGUAAACAGGACACAGUUGGAAAAACUGGUUAUUUUACCAGGGAUUUGACUGAAAGGGUGUGUUUCCCUUUAAGGAAUCAAGCUUGACAUGCAAAGCCAAUAAAAGCCCCUUGGGGAGAAAUGGCCUCAUACCUUGUCUGCACAGUCCCCACACAGGGUUCCUAACCUGUGGUCAGUAAAGAAUGUCACUUUCUAACAGGUCUGGAAGCUCUGAGUUUAUCUUGGGACCUCAAGAGGGGAGGAUCACCCAACUCACAGGUAUUAGAGGAUAAAAACCCAUGGCUGGGCUCAGCUUUAAAAGUCUUAUCUGAAGGCCAGGCACAGUGGCUCAUGCCUGUAAUUCCAGCACUUUGGGAGGCUGAGGUGGGUGGAUCACUUGAGGUCAGGAGUUCAAGACCAGCCUGGCCAAUAUGGUGAAACCCCAUCUCUACUAAAAAUACAAAAAGUAGCUGGGCAUGGUGGCAGGCGACUGUAGCCCCAGCUACCAGGGAGGCUGAGGCAGAAGAAUCACUUGAACCCGGGAGGCGGAGGUUAUAGUGAGCCGAGAUUGCACCAUGGCAUUCCAGCCUGGGUGACAGAGCAAGACUCCAUCUCAAAAAACAAACAAACAAAAGUCUUACCUAAAAUUCCUUGAGGAACAGAGUUUUAUCAAAGCCAAUCCAAAAGGCCUAUGUCAAAAUAACCAUUCUUGCUGCACUUUAGGCAAAUAAUCAGGCCAAGUAUAAGACUAAAGUUUAUUCAUAAUUAGUUUUUACCAAAAUGAGGACUGGAGAGAAAAACUUUGCUCCAAAGCUUAUCAUACAUUUGUCAUUAAAUCCUAGUCUCAUUAUUGUUUUUAAGCUUUUUGCCUACAAUUUAGCCCUGCUUACUCCUGUGAAUCAAGUGGUGAUCUUCUGCAGCUUGGGGAAAAAAAAAAGGGAUGGGUAACAUAAAAAUGUGAAUCAAUAUGCUAGUUCUGGGCAAUUAUCUUGCAAAUUCUGCCAGGUAAUGAAAGUGAGUAAGGUGCCCAUAACCUGGAGGUUUCUUUGUUUGCGAAAAUAAAACCAAGGAACUUCAUAGACCCCCAAAGGGGAAUUCUAUAUCUUGGCAAGUAAAAUUUUAGAUGGAAAUUACCUGCCACACCACACUUGUGGGAACUGCUGUCCUCACUCUACUAUUUGCAUUAGGGUUAUACAUGGUAGCACCUUCUUUUUUUUGUUUUAUUUUUUUAAAUUUUAACUGAUCCUUCUGAUAGAUUUUUUUAAAAAUUAUUAUACUUAAAGUUCUAGGGUACAUGUGCAUAAGGUGCAGGUUUCUUACAUAGGUAUACAUGUGCCAUGUUGGUUUGCUGCACCCAUCAACUCAUCAUUUACAUUAGGUAUUUCUCCUAAUGCUAUCCCUCCCCCAGGCCACUAUCCCCCAACAGGCUCCAGUGUGUGAUGUUCCCCACCCUGUGUCCAAGUGUUCUCAUUGUUCAGUUCCCACCUAUGAGUGAGAACAUGCGGUGUUUGCUUUUCUGUCCUUGUGAUAGUUUGCUGAGAAUGAUGGUUUCCAGCUUCAUCCAUGUCCCUGCAAAGGACGUGAACUCAUCUUUUUUUAUGGCUGCAUAGUAUUCCAUGGUGUGUAUGUGCCACAUUUUCUUAAUCCAGUCUAUCAUUGAUGGACAUUUGGGUUGGUUCCAAGUCUUUGCUAUUGUGAAUAGUGCCACAAUAAACAUAUGUGUGCAUGUGUCUUUAUAGUAGCAUGAUUUAUAAUCCUUUGGGUAUAUAUGCAGUAAUGGGAUGUCUGGGUCAAAUGGUAUUUCUAGUUCUAGACCCUUGAGGAAUUGUCACACUGUCUUCCACAAUGGUUGAACUAAUUUACACUCCCACCAACAGUGUAAAAGCAUUCCUAUUUCUCCACAUUCUCUCCAGCAUCUGUUGUUUCCUCACAUUUUAAUGAUCACCAUUCUAACUGGCGUGAGAUGGUAUCUCAUUGUGGUUUUGAUUUGCAUUUCUUUGAUGACCAGUGAUGAUGAGCAUUUUUGCAUGUGUCUUUUGGCUGCAUAACUGUCUUCUUUUGAAAGUGUCUUGUUCGUAUCCUUUGCCCACUUUUUGAUGAGGUUGUUUUUUCUUGUAAAUUUGUUUAAGUUCUUUGUAGAUUCUGGAUAUUAGCCCUUUGUCAGAUGGGGAGAUUGCAAAAUUUUUCUCCUAUUCUGUAGAUUGUCUGUUCAUUCUGAUGGUAGUUUCUUUUGCCGUGCAGAAGCUCUUUAGUUUAAUUAGAUCCCAUUUGUCUAUUUUGACUUUUGUUGCCAUUGCUUUUGGUGUUUUAGUCAUGAAGUCCUUGCCCAUGCCUAUGUCCUGAAUGUUAUUGCCUAGGUUUUCUUCUAGGGUUUUUAUGGUUUUAGGUCUAACAUUUAAGUCUUUAAUCCAUCUUGAAUUAAUUUUUGUAUAAGGCGUAAGGAAGGGAUCCAGUUUAGGCUUUCUACAUAUGGCUAACCAGUUUUCCCAGCACCAUUCAUUAAAUAGGGAAUCCUUUGCCCAUUUCUUGUUUUUGUCAGGAUUGUGAAAGAUCACAUGGUUGUAGAUGUGUGGUGUUAUUUCUGAGGGCUCUGUUCUGUUCCAUUGGUCUAUACAUCUGUUUUGGUACCAGUACCAUGCUGUUCUGGUUACUGUAGCCUUGUAGUGUAGUUUGAAGUCAGGUAGCGUGAUGCCUCCAGCUUUAUUCUUUUUGCUUAGGAUUGUCUUGGCUAUGCAGGCUCUUUUUUGGUUCCAUAUGAACUUUAAAGUACUUUUUUCCAAUUCUGUGAAGAAAGUCAUUGGUAGCUUGAUGGGGAUGGCAUUGAAUCUAUAAAUUACCUUGGGCAGUAUGGCCAUUUUCACAAUAUUCUUCCUAUCCAUGGGCAUGGAAUGUUCUUUCAUUUGUUUGUGUCCUCUUUUAUUUCGUUUGGCAGUGGUUUGUAGUUCUCCUUGAAGAAGUCCUUCACAUCCCUUGUAAAUUGGAUUCCUGGGUAUUUUAUUGUCUUUGCAGCAAUUGUGAAUGGGAGUUCACUCAUGAUUUGGCUCUUUGUCUGUUAUUGUUGUAUAAGAAUGCCUGUGAUUUUUACACAUUGAUUUUGUAUCCUGAGACUUUGCUGAAUUUGCUUAUCAGCUUCAGGAGAUUUAGGGCUGAGACGAUGGGGUUUUCUAAAUAUACAAUCAUGUCAUCUGCAAACGGACAAUUUGACUUCCUCUUUUCCUAAUUGAAUACCCUUUAUUUCUUUCUUGUGCCUGAUUGCCCUGGCCAGAACUUCCAACACUAUGUUGAAUAGGAGUGGUGAGAGAGGGUAUCCUUGUCUUGUACUGGUUUCAAAGGGAAUGAUUCCAGUUUCUGCCCACUCAGUAUGAUAUUGACUGUAGGUUUGUCAUAAAUAACUCUUAUUAUUUUGAGAUACGUUCCAUCAAUACCUUGUUUAUUUAAAGUUUUUAUUGAGAGUUGUUUAUUGAAAGUUUUUAGCAUGAAGGGCUGUUGAGUUUGUUGAAGGCCUUUUCUGCACCUAUUGAGAUAAUCAUGUGGUUUUUGUCUUCGGUUCUGUUUAUAUGCUGGAUUACGUUUAUUGAUUUGCAUAUGUUGAACCAGCCUUGCAUCCCAGGGAUGAAGCCGACUUGAUUGUGGUGGAUAAGCUUUUUGAUGUGCUGCUGGAUUCAGUUUGCCAGUAUUUUAUUGAGGAUUUUUGCAUCGAUGUUCAUCAGGGAUAUUGGUCUAAAAUUCUCUUUUUUGUUGUGUCUCUGCCAGGCUUUGGUAUCAGGAUGAUGCUGGCCUCACAAAAUGAGUUAGGGAGGAUUCCCUCUUUUUCUAUUGAUUGGACUAGUUUCAGAAGGACUGGUACCAGCUCCUCUUUGUAUCUCUGGUAGAAUUCGGCUGUGAAUCCAUCUUGUCCUGGACUUUUUUUGGUUGGUGGCUAUUAAUUGUUGCCUCAAUUUCAGAGCCUGUUAUUGGUCUAUUCAGGAAUUCAACUUCUUCCUGGUUUAGUCUUGGGAGGGUGUGUGUGUCCAGGAAUUUAUCCAUUUCUUCUAGAUUUUCUAGUUUAUUUGCAUAGAGGUGUUUAUAGUAUUCUCUGAUGACAGUUUGUAUUUCUGUGGGAUCAGUGGUGAUAUCCCCUUUAUCAUUUUUUAUUGCGUCUAUUUGAUUCUUCUCUCUUUUCUUCUUUAUUAGUCUUGCUAGUGGUCUAUCAAUUCCGUUGAUCUUUUCAACAAACCAGCUCCUGGAUUCAUGGAUUUUUUGAAGGUUUUUUUGUGUCUCUAUCUCCUUCAGUACUGCUCUGCUCUUAGUUAUUUCUUGCCUUCUGCUAGCUUUUGAAUGUGUUUGCUGUUGCUUCUCUAGUUCUUUUAAUUGUUAUAUUAGGGUGUCAGGUUUAGAUGUUUCCUGCUUUCUCUUGUGGGCAUUUAGUGCUAUAAAUUUCCCUCUACAAACUGUUUUAAAUGUGUCCCAGAGAUUCUGGUAUGUUGUGUCUUUGUUCUCAUUGGUUUCAAAGAACAUCUUUAUUUCUGCCUUCAUUUCAUUAUGUCCCCAGUAGUCAUUCAGGAGCAGGUUGUUCAGUUUCCAUGUAGCUGUGUGGUUUUGAGUGGGUUUCUUAAUCCUGAGUUCUCAUUUGAUUGCAGUGUGAUCCGAGAGACAGUUUGUUGUGAUUUCUGUUCUUUUACAGUUGCUGAGGAGUGCUUUACUUCCAAUUACGUGGUCAAUUUUAGAAUAAGUGCAAUGUGGUGCUGAGAAGAAUGUAUAUUCUGUUGAUUUGGGGUGGAGAGUUCUGUAGAUAUCUAUUAGAUCUGCUUGGUGCAGAGCUGAGUUCAAUUCCUGGAUAUCCUUGUGAACUUUCUAUCUCGUUGAUCUGUCUAAUGUUGACAGUGGGGUGUUAAAGUCUCCCAUUAUUAUUGUGUGGGAGUCUAAGUCUCUUUGUAGGUCUCUAAGGACUUGCUUUAUGAAUCUGGGUGCUCCUGUAUUGGGUGCAUAUAUAUUUAGGAUAGUUAGCUCUUCUUGUUGAAUUGAUCCCUUUACCAUUAUGUAAUGGCCUUCUUUGUGUCUUUUGAUCUUUGUUGGUUUAAAGUCUGUUUUAUCAAAGACUAGGAUUGCAACCCCCCCUUUUUUUCUUUUUUUUGCUUUCCAUUUGCUUGGCAGAUCUUUCUCCAUCCCGUUAUUUCAAGCCUAUGUGUGUCUCUGCAUGUGAGAUGGGUCUCCUGAAUACAGCACACUGAUGGGUCUUGACUCUUUAUCCAAUUUGCCAGUCUGUGUCUUUUAAUUGGGGCAUUUAACCCAUUUACAUUUAAAGUUAAUAUUGUUAUGUGUGAAUUUGAUCCUGUCAUUAUUAUGUUAGCUGGUUAUUUUGCCUGUUAAUUGAUGCAGUUUCUUCAUAGCAUCGAUGGUCUUUACAAUUUGGCAUGUUUUUGCAGUGGCUGGUACCAGUUGUUCCUUUCCAUGUUUAAUGUUUCCUUCAGGAGCUCUUGUAAAGCAGGCCUAGUGGUGACAAAAUCUCUCAGCAUUUGCUUGUCUGUAAAGGAUUUUAUUUCUCCUUCACUUAUGAAGCUUAGUUUGGCUGGAUAUGAAAUUCUGGGUUGAAAAUUCUUUUCUUUAAGAAUGUUGAAUAUUGGCCCCCACUCUUUUCUGGCUUGUAGGGUUUCUGCUGAGAGAUGUGCUGUUAAUCUGAUGGGCUUCCCUUUGUGGGUAACCUGACCUUUCUCUCUGGCUGCCCUUAACAUUUUUUCCUUCAUUUCAACCUUGGUGAAUCUGACAAUUACGUGUCUUGGGGUUGUUCUUCUCGAGGAGUAUCUUUGUGCUGUUCUCCGUAUUUCCUGAAUUUGAAUGUUGGCCUGCUUUGCUAGGUUGGGGAAGUUCUCCUGGAUAAUAUCCUGAAGAGCGUUUUCCAACUUGGUUCCAUUCUCCCCAUCACUUUCAGGUACACCAAUCAAACGUGGAUUUGGUCUUUUCACAUAGUCCCAUAUUUCUCAGAGGCUUUGUACAUUUCUUUUUACUUUUUUCCUCUAAUCUUGUAUGCUCACUUUAUUUCAUUAAUUUGAUCUUCAGUCGCUGAUAUCUUUUCUUCCACUUGAUCGAAUCAGCUAUUGAAGCUUGUGCAUGCAUCACGAAGUUCUCGUGCCAUGGUUUCCAGCUCCAUCAGGUCAUUUAAUAUCUUCUUUACACUGUUUAUUCUAGUUAGCCAUUUGUCUAACCUUUUUUCAAGGUUUUUAGCUUCCUUGCAAUGGAUUAGAACAUGCUCCUUUAGCUCAGAGAUGUUUGUUAUUACCGACCUUCUGAAGCCUACUUCUGUCAACUCAUCAAAGUCAUUCUCCAUCCAGCUUUGUUCUAUUGCUAGCAAGGAGCUGCGAUCCUGUGGAGGAGAAGAGGCACUCUGGUUUUAGAAUUUUCAGCUUUUCUGCUCUGGUUUCUCCCCAUCUUUGUGGUUUUAUCUACCUUUGGUCUUUGAUGUUGGUGAUCUACAGAUGGGGUUUUUGGUGUGGAUGUCCUUUUUGUUGAUGUUGAUGUUAUUCCUUUCUGUUUGUUAGUUUUCCUUCUAACAGUUAGGUCCCUCAGCUGUAGGUCUGUUGGAGUUUGCUGGAGGGCCACUCCAGACCCUGUUUGCCUGGAUAUCACCAGUGGAGGCUGCAGAACAGCAAAUAUUACAGAACAGCAAAUAUUGCUGCCUGAUCCUUCCUCUGGAAGCUUCGUCCCAGAGGGUCACCCACCUGUAUGAGUAGUCUGUCGACCCCUACUGGGAGGUGUCUCCCAGUUAGGCUACAUGGGCGUCAUGGACCCAUUCAAGGAGGCAGUCUGUCUGUUCUCAGAACUCAAACACUGUGCUGGGAGAACCACUGCUCUCUUCAGAGCUGUCAGACAGGGAUGUUUAAGUCUGAAGAAUUUUCUGCUGCCUUUUUUUCAGCUAUGCCCAGCCCACAGAGGUGGAGUUCUAUAGAGGCAGUAGGCCUUGCUGAGCUGUGGUGGGCUCCACCCAGUUCGAGCAUCCAGGCCACUUUGUUUACCUACUCAAGCCUCAGCAAUAGCGGACGCCCCUCCCUGCACCAGGCUCCAGCCUGGCAGGUGGAUCUCAGACUGCUGCGCUAGCAGUGAGCAAGGCUCCAUGGGGGUGGGACCCACUGAGCCAGGCACGGGAGAGAAUCUCCUGGUCUGCCAGCUGCUAAGACCAUGGGAAGAGCCCAGUAUUUGGGCGGGAGUGUCCUGUUUUUCCAGGUACAGUCUAUCAUGACUUCCCUUGGCUAGGAAAGGGAAAUCCCCUGACCCCUUCUGCUUCCCAUGUGAGGUGACGCCCCACCCUGCUUCGGCUCUCCCUCUGUAGGCUGCACCCACUGUCCAACCAGUCCCAAAGAGAUGAACCAGGUACCUUAGUGGGAAAUCACUCGUCUUCUGCGUCAAUCACACUGGGAGCUGCAGACCAGAGCUGUUCCUAUUCAGCCAUCUUGGAACAGACCUCCCAUGGUAGCAUCUUUAAACUGAAAUAUUGGACAGAGAGUUUCCAUUGCUGUAGUAUUUUGCUUAAUUAUUAUCUUUAUAGCAGGGAUAAUAGUUGACAAAAAGGAAGCAUGAAAGUUUUACCAUCACUGAGUCUGCUAGGCCUUUUUUGGGGUUUAGUAAUGCAGUUUUAAAUGAAACAUGCUGCUUUUGGAUUAACACCGCUAGUAAAGUAGAGGAAAAUCUACAGGUACUUAAAAAUCAAAUCAGCUGGGCAUGGCAGCUCAUGCCUGUAAUCCCAGCACUUUGGGAGGCUGAGGCAGGCAGAUGACCUGAGGUCAGGAGUUCGAGACCAGCCUGGCCAACAUGGUGAAUUCCUGUUUCUACUAAAAGUACAAAAAAUUAGCCGGGCAUGGUGGCACGCACCUGUAAUCCCAGCUACUCAGGAGGCUGAGGCAGGAGAAUUGUUUGAACUCGGGAGGCGUAGAUUGCAGUGAGCCGAGAUCACACCAUUGCACUCCAGCCUGGGCAACAACAGCAAAACUCCAUCUCAGAAAAAAAAAAAAUCAAAUCAUAAUUAUUGACAGGCUCAGGAAAAAUGACAGCUUCAGCUCUGAGUGGCUACAAUCCCUUUUUAAUAAAUUCCAGUCUUCUUUAUGGAAUUGGUUAACCCCUUUUUUAAGCACUCUCUUGCUUAUAUGUCUUGUAUUGAUAUUUGGAGCCUAUAUACUCAAUACUAUAACUCAAAUUGUUUCUUCUCACCUAGAAGCAAUCAAACUCCAAACGGUGCUGUAAACUGAAACACACAUGGAGAUGCCAUUCUUCUGAGGACCCUUAGAUCCACCCCAGGAGGAGCCCUAGCUGCUGUUCCCCCAUGUGACUCCCCUUUUCAGCAGAAAGUAGCCAGAAAGAACCAUAACCCAAAACCCUCUAACAGCAGUUAGUGUGGCAUCUCCAUAGCGGGGAAUGUUGUAGGAAGAGAGGUCCUUGGGAAGUUUUCUUUUUUUCUUUUUUUUUUGAGACAGAGUCUCACUCUGUUGCCCAGGCUGGAGUGCAGUGGCGCAAUCUCGGCUCACUGCAAGCUCCGCCUCUCAGGUUCACCCCAUUCUCCUGGCCCAGCCUCCUGAGUAGCUGGGACUACGGGUGCCCACCACCACACCCGGCUAAUUUUUUUUUUUUUUUUUUGUAUUUUUAGUAAAGACGGGGUUUCACUGUGUUAGCCAGGAUGGUCUCUAUCUCCUGACCUCGUGAUCCUCCCGCCUCGGCUUCCCAAAGUGCUGGGAUUACAGGCGUGAGCCACCGUGCCUGGCCAAGGGAAGCUUUUGUUUUUUAAAGCAUCUCUGGAAAAGUUUCUCUUAAAUCCCUGGCUCUUAGCAGCAGCCCACCAACCUUUGAUAUGCAAAUACUGACCAUUAGAAAGUGGGCCCACCCAAACAUGGAGAUUCCUGUGGCCUUCCUGCCCUUUCCCCACAUGUUCCUGGCAACAUGGCCACCUCCAAAUAUCCCCAGGAGUGUAGAACAUCAUGGCGCCCUACAUUUGCAUAUUAAAAGGCUAGGGUGGGAGGGUCAGCUUUUUUACAGGCUACGUGAAUGUCAUGCCUAGUCAAACCAAUCCCUUGAGCCCUGUGCAAAUCAAACACCACCUCCAGCCUCUGCAUAUAUACCUGGCUGGUGUCCCUGCCAGGUGGGGACCUCCUCUUUCAGCUUUGGAGCCCCCAUCCCUGUGUCUCUGUAUGGGGGAGCUUCUUUCUUCUGUCUUCUCCCUUCCUUCUUACCUAUUAAACUCUCCGCUCCUUAAAAGCAAAAAAAAAAAAAAGAAAGAAAGAAAAAACAGGGUUUCCCCAUGUUAACCAGGCCGGUCUCCAACUUGUGGGCUCAAGCUAUCCGCAUGCCAAAGCGCUGGGAUUACAGGUGUGAGCCACUAUGCCCGGCCCUGAAUUCAUGAUUUUUAAAAAUGUAUUUUCCAGGCCCAGUGCGGCGGCUCAUGCCUGUAACCUCAGCACUUUGGGAGGCCAAGGCGGGCAGAUUGCUUGAGGCCAGGAAAUUGAGACCAUCCUGGCCAAUGUGGUGAAACUCUGAGCUAAAAAUACAAAAAUUAGCCUGGCAUAGUGGGGCAUGCUUGUAAAUCCCAGCUGCUCGGGAGACUGAGGCAUGAGAAUCGGUUGAACCAGGGAGGAGGAGCUUGCAGUGAGUUGAGAUCUCACCACUGCACUCCAGCCUGGGCGACAGAUCCAGAUAAUGUCUCAAAAAAAUAAAGUGUAUUUCCCAGCUCUGUCCAUUGGGUGGAGAUAAAAUGACACUCCAGAAGCAGUAAGCAUCCAGAUCUUAACUUCAAAUUACCAUUCCCCAUGAAAAUGAAAAUAAACUCCUUGAAGAAAUGGCUGGCUCCACAUUGUGGCAGAGGAAAUUCUAGGCGAGCCUGGGACACUGUGUUGUCCCAGAAAGGAAGGAAAUGCUCAGACUAAUGAGUGUAUCUCAAAAAAGAUGAGCCAGCUUAAAGGGGUUCCCACUGGCCAAAUAUGCGAUAAUUUGGGCAUUGAUAAAAAUAAUAACUAUAAUUGAUUGCAAUUGUAUUGCAAUUGUAUUGAUAGUGCCUGUAAUCUUAGCUACUUGGGAGGCUGAGGCAGGAUAAUCGUUUGAACCCAGGAGGCAGAGGUUGCAGUGAGCCAAGAUAGCACCAUUGCACUCCAGCCUGGGUGACAAGAGCAAAACUCCAUCUUAAAAAAACAAAACAAAACAAAAACACACACGCCAAAAGAACAUAAUCAGACAUAUUCAGGAUGCAGGGUAUUAUGUAAGAUCACUGACUUGGCUUCUUCAAAAGUAAAUUUUAUCAAGAAGAACAAUAUCUUUGAACAUGUGUCCUAGGAGAAAAAAGGAAAAUGAAAAAGGAGGAGAAACAGGGAAGAAAGAAAAGGUAAGUGGAGGGCUGGGCAUGGUGGCUCACGCCUGUAAUCCUAGCACUUCGGGAGGCCAAGGCGGGUGGAUCACUUGAGGCCAGGAGUUGGAAACAAGCCUGGCCUUGAUGGGGAAACCCUGUCUCCACUGAAAAUAUAAAAAUUAGCCAGCUUGGUGGCUCAUAUCUGUAAUCCCAGCUAUUCAGGAGGCUGAGGGAGGAGAAUUGCUUGAACCUGGGAGGCAGAGUUUGCAGCAAGCCAAGAUUGUGCCACUGCACUCCAGCCUGGCCAACAGAGCAACACUGUCUCAAAAAAAAAAAAAAAAAAAAAAAAAUAGAAAAGGUAAGUGGGGACUGUUCCAGAAUAAGAGAUUUAAGAGACAUAACAACCAAAUACAAUGCAAAACUCUUGACUGGAUACUGGCCUAAAAACCAUUAAAAACAGCUCUAAAUUCACUGGGGAAAUCUGCAAUUACAAACAACCCUAGGUUUUAGUGGUUUGUAAAACAAAAGUUUAUUUCCUGUUCAAGUCACUUGUACUGCCAGUUGACUAUGGUUAUAUUCCUGAUAGCUGUUUUGAUCCCUGUGUCUUACCCCAAAACCCAGGAAAUGAUUAGAAAAGCUUCUACACCGCACAAUGUGCAUCUUGCUGCUCACAAUAUGUUUGCUGAAGCAAUAUGGCCAAGCGCUAAGAUUAUAGGGGAAGAGUGUGUCAUCUUCCCAUAGAGAAGAGGAAAGUGAAUACUUUUGAGUAAUAAUAUAAUCUAUUGCCACUCUUUAUUAGUGGAUACUAGGGAAUUUUAAAUUUUACAGGUAUGAUAAUGUAGUGUGUAAAAGACUAAUCUUAGGAGACACACUAAGAAGUAUUUAGGGAUGAGAUAGUAACAGUAAAAAAGUAGAUUGGUAGUAAAAGCAAAAGUGGCAAACUGUUAACAACUAUUGAAUCUAGUGGUGGUUUUAUGGGUAUCCAUUAUAUAUUUUUUUAACUUUUCUACAUGUUCUGGGUGGAAUUGUGACUCUCCUAAAAUAUGUUGAAGUCCUAACCCAUAUAUCUGUGGAUGUAACUUUAUGUGGAAGUAGGGUCUUUGCCCUAUUGGCUACUGUAAGCAAUUAAAAUGGGGUCAUUAGGAUGUGCCUUUAGCCCACUAUGACUGGUUUUCUUAUAAGAAAACAGAGACACACACAGAGAGGAAGAAUGGCACCUGAGGAAGGAAGCAGAGACUGGAGUGAUGCAUCUACAAGCCAAGAAAGGUCAAGGAUUGUCCUUGACAAGGCUGAGGCAGGAGAAUCCCUUGAGCUUGGUAGGUGGAGGUUGCAGUGAGCUGAGAUGGUGCCACCGCACAGAGACAGGGUAAGUCUCUGUCUGAAAAAUAAUAAUAAUAAUAAUUGAGAUCACAGAUUUGGACUGCAGAAACUGAGCUUUAAAUUAUCAAAGUGACAGGAAGAUUAGGAAAUCUGCCAAAUGUCCGUUAAGGAUGAACCAGAAUGAUUUGACAGGGCAUAUUUGAAUGAACUGAUAGAAUAAACAUAAUAGAUCAAUAUUGAACUAAGAUGAAUCAGGAAACUGGUUAUGGUAAAGAUAACUGCCAUUUUUUUGAGCACUCGCAAAUUGCUAUGUGAUGCUGCAUAAACCUUGUACAGGUCAUCCUUUUUCAUCCUCAGAAUAAUCCAUUUUACAAAUGAGAAAACAAACAGAGGCUUAUAGGGAUUAAAAGUCUGCACUUUUAGCCACAACACUCUCCUGCUCCAAUAAAAUAGUUAGCACAUGCUAUGUCCCUGGUGCUGUGUUAAGCACUCAGGAUACAUUUUCUAGACCCAUCCUCUCAGCCGCCUUGUUGAGAAGCAUUAUUCUCCUUACUUAUCAGAUACCUACAAGAGAUACAAUAACUUCCUGCAGUACUAUAUAUGGGAACCAGGGAAGCUGGGAGACUCAUCCAGAUCACUGUCUUUACAGGUGAAUUCUACCUAGAUCCUACCUACUCUCAGGGUUCUGACAGGUGGAGAAGAUAAGACGAUUAUACUGCAAGGGAAAACAUGGUGGGUGUCAUAGAGUUCCCACAGACAAAGUACCAUGAGAAUCCCCAGGAAGAAUGUUAUUGAAGGGGAAAAGUAAACCCUAAAUUUCUUUGAAACUCACAAACCCUUUUGUAAAAUUCUGCACACAGGGAAUAUAAAAUGGUGUAGCUGCUAUGGAAAACAGUAUAGCAGCUCCUCAAAAAAUUAAAUAUAGGGCUGAGCAUGGUGGCUCACACCUGUAAGUCCAGUGCUUUGGGAGGUCGUGUGUGGAAGACUACUUCAGCCCAGGAAUUCAAGACCAGCCUGGGCAAUAUAGCAAGAUCCCAUCUCUAAAAAAAAAAAAUUAAAAACAACCGCUGGGUGCGGUGGCUCAUGUCUGUAAUCCCAGCGCUUUGGGAGGCCGAGGCCAGCAGAUCACGAGGUCAAGAGUUGGAGACCAGCCUGACAAACAUAGUGAAACUCCGUCUCCACUAAAAAUACAAAAAUUAGCUGGGUGCAGUGGCGCAUGCCUGUAAUCCCAGCUACUCAGGAGGCUGGGGCAGGAGAAUUGCUUGAACCCGGGAGGCGAAGGUGGCAGUGAGCCAAUAUCGCACCACUGCAUUCCAGCCUGGGCGCCAGGGCAAGACUCCAUCUCAAACAAACAAACAAACAAAAAAUUGAAUUACCAUUGGUCCUGCAAUUUCACUUCUGGGUACAUAGCCAAAAGAAUUGAAAACACAGUCUCAAAGAGAUAUUUGUACAGCCAUGUUCAUAGCAGCUUUAUUCACAAUAGCUAAAAUGAAGAAGGAGCCUAAGUGUCUAUUAAUGGAUGAGUGAAUAAGCAAGAUGUGGUAUGCAUACACAAUGAAAUAUUAUUCAGCCUUAACAAGGGAUGAAAUUCUGACACAUGCUACCACAUGAAUGAAUCUUGAGGACAUUAUGCUCCAUGAAAUAACCAAGUCACAAAAAGACAAAUGCUGUGUGAUUGCACUCAUAUGAGGUGCCUACAGUAGUCAAAUUCAUAGAGGCAGAAAGUACAAUGGUGGUUGCCAAGGGGUUGGGGAGAAGGGAAUAGGGAGGUGUUACUUGGUGGGUACAGAGUUUCUAUUUUAUAAGGUGAAAAGGGUUCUGCAGAUUGGUUCAUAACAAUGUGAAUGUAGUUAACACUACUGGAUUGUAUACUUAAAAUGGUUAAGAUGGUAAAUUUUAUAUCCUGUGUAUCUUAGCAUAAUUAAAAAUAAAUUAAAAAUCUUCACACAACAGGUAUUUAUGACCUAACUGGACCUCUAUUUUUAUUUUAUAAAUUUUCUGUUACUUAGAAGAUCACUUGCUCACUGCAGGCUGACACAAAGAAAAAUAAUUUCCUUUGGCAUAGAAGUCAUUUUUCAUUUGACUUGAUGCUGACUCAUUUGGUUUGUGCUAAAAGCUGCAUUAUGUAAAUGAAAUUUACAUAAUGGAUGGUGAAGAGGGGAAAGAAGAAGGAAUAAUUUGUGUCUAAAAUCUCCUUUCUCCUCUGAACCACUCUAAUCUAAUUUCUGGCUUGGAGUAAUGUAUGUGAUUCCAGGAAUGACUGCCUAGGUCUGUCUUGGUUUUGAGGCAGAUAUAAGCAUUAGGACAUACCAGGAUAUACAAGGGUAUAAAAUUUAGAACUAUUAUUCCAGAAUAAGUUUAUGAUUACAGGGAGUUAUAAUUAUUAUAUUUGUCCUGCAUUUUUUAGGCAUUGCUUACAUAGGUCAGGGUGAAUGGAUUUUAUUUCUAAAGAGUCAUUGAUUGUGUGUCCUUAAAAGGACACGUUCAAGUUAACUACUCAUUCUUUCUCUACUUAACAGGGGUUCCAGAAGUCAGAGGAUGUGGUUGAUGGAGGGCUUGGAAAAAGAUGUUAGGAAAAGAGAAAGAGGAAAUUAAAUGUAUGUUGCCUAGUCCCACUUGACCUUGUUCCAUUUAAUUCCACAAAUGUUCUCAUUCAUUUAACAAGUAUUUCUUGAUUUAUUUCUAUGUACCAUGCACCAAGGCUAUCACGCAACAGCAAACAAGACAGCCAUGCUGCCUGCCUGGUGGGGUACACGGUCAGUUGGGAAAGACAGACCUGAUGACAAUUGUGUGAAGUGUUGUGAAUCAGGCUGGAGGCCUGGCGCUGGGGGCAGGUGUGGCUGGGGAUAGUCCAUGAAGUUUCCCCUGAGGAAGCAGUACUUAAAUUGAGACCCAAUAAUGAGAUCAUAAGACAGCAUGCUUACAGGUUUCUGGAAUAUUUGAAUUGUAAUGUUGGGUGAAUGUUUUGCCACAACAUUUUGCUUGUAUAAGACUUUGGAAAGGAACCCUGAGUAGUGUGAAUUUCUAUAUCAUGGGUCAGCCAAUGAAUAAACACUGAUUGAGCACCUUCAAAGUGUGAGGGCACUGGAUGAUGUGUGAGGUGUCUGGGCCAACUGAGAAUCAUUUUGAUAUUUCAGAUAUCCAGGACUGAUUAAAUGGAAGAGAUAGACAAAAGACAAAAAAAAAAAAAAAGAACUUUUGUGUCCAUAGGUACUGACUAGGAGGAUAUCAUUGAUAAUAAUUAUACCUUCUGGACAUAAGAAACUUAUUCCAAACCAUAUUCUCAUACGUUAUUCAUUUUUUUCCUCUCUCAAUGAGUCUGUAGGGCAGGUAAGACAACAGUUUUCUCCAUUUUAUAAGAAAGGAAACAAAUGUUGUGGGGAUUAGUUAAGUGAUUUGCCCAAUGUCCCACAACCUUCCAAACUAGGAUUAGAACCUAGGCCUUUUGACACCAAAUCCAAGGUCCCCUCCACUCUGCCACCUUGCCUUUCCAUGCCUGUCAGGAAUGAAGUAGAUAGCUGUUGUCUUUGCAUGCCCAGCAUUUCAUUUUUCUGACUUUGGACCAGGGAAGCCCAACUGUCCUUUCCCCACCUUCAGGCCAUGUAGUCCAGGUGGAGAUAAUCCCUCCUCACCUGUUGCUCCAGGGUGAGCACACGGCCAAGACACUGUCAUGUCCUAGUGUGAACUGGACAAAGAUCCCUCUCUCCUGUCACACACAGUCCUGCACCAGGAUAAAGGCUUGGUGAAUGCAGCCUUCGCUGGAUUUCAGCCCCUGCUUGUCCUUUUUUACAAUGAACAACCUGCACAAAUAUUUGUGGCCUUCCUAAUGACUGAGACCUAGCCAGUAAGGUUCUGAGAUGUGGAUCUGACCCAAGCCAGGUCAAUGAGACAGUCUGGCCCUUUGCUAGGAUGACGAGGAAAGACAGGCUCUCUUCCCAUUAGAAUUGUUAACACUGGUGGCCAUGUUGCCUUCAAAAGGGAAGAGACCACCCAAGAUUUCAGUUUACAGAAAGGAAAGAAAAUAUGACAGAGGGAGAAAAAAACUGUGAUAACAUUGAGCACCACACUUGGAGCCAGUGCUACCCCUGGACUCAUAAGUUCCUGGAGAGGGGGACUUUGCUUAAUAUUUUUCAAAUCUGAAUCCCUUAUGCCUAGAACAGUGCCUGACACGAAGGAAGCAAUCAAUAAAUAUCUGUUGAAUAAUUGAGCUGAUAAAUUCCUUUUUUGUUUUUCUUUUUUGUAUAUGUAACUGGUUUGUUGGAAGUCUCAAUUCAUUGGGGAGUAUAAAUAAAAAGUAACUUUAUUUUUCCCAGUAACUGUUCUCUCAUGUUCUCCUUUCUUACUGGUUAGCAAUUUCCUUGGAGCAUGGCUAGGCACGGUGGCUCAUGCCUGUAAUCCCAACACUUUGGGAGGUUGAGGUGGACAAAUUGCUUGAACCCAGGAGUUUGAGACUAGCCUGCACAAUGUGGCGAGAUCCUCUCUCUCUCCCCACCUCCAAAAAAAAAGAAAACAAACAAACAAAAAAACCCAAAAACAAAAACCCAGAAUCUUGAACAGAUCCCACAGCUUCCCAGGUAGAAAAAUGUUCUAGUAUUUGUGUUCAAGAUUGGUUAGCAGGUGCGGUGGCUCAUGCCUGUAAUCUCAGCACUUUGGGAGGCAGAGGCAGGUGGAUCACUUGAGGGAGGCCAAGAGUUCAAGACCAGCCUGGCCAACAUGAUGAAACACUGUCUCCACUGAAAAUACAAAAGUUAGCUGGGUGUGGUGGCACAUGCCUCUAAUCCCAACUACUCGGGAGGCUGAGGCAGAGAAUCGCUUGAACCUGGGAGGCGGAGGCUGCAGUGAGCCGAGAUUGCACCACUGCACUGCAGCCUGGGCGACAGAGGGAAACUCUGUCCCCCCCAGCAAAAAAAAGAGAGAAAAGAAAAGAAUCCGGCUGUGGUUUGAAACAUAAACAAAGGUGAAGAAAACCUGGAGGUGGCUAGGCUACUGAGAAUUUAUUUUGUUAUUUCAGAUGCAAUACCGAUUAAAAGGAAGA
rnacentral:lncRNA from 1 species